rnacentral:rRNA from 1 species
AGUGAACGCUGGCGGCAGGCCUAACACAUGCAAGUCGAACGAGUGGCGGACGGGUGAGGAAUACAUCGGAAUCUACUCUGUCUAGGGGGCAAACGUAGGGAACCUUACGCUAAUACCGCAUACGAUUGAAUGAGCCGUUGUCGGAGUAGCUAGUUGGCGGGGUAAAGGCACACCAAGGCGACGAUCCGUAGCUGGUCUGAGAGGAUGAUCAGCCACACUGGAACUGAGACACGGGCCAGACUCCUACGGGAGGCAGCAGUGGGGAAUAUUGGACAAUGGGCGCAAGCCUGAUCCAGCCAUCCCGCGUGGGUGAAGAAGGCCUUCGGGUUGUAAAGCCCUUUUGUUGGGAAAGCGGUACCCAAAGAAUAAGCACCGGCUAACUUCGUGCCAGCAGCCGCGGUAAUUC